GUGAGCCACCGUGCCUGGCCCACAUGUAUUUUUAAGUAUACAUUUUUGUGUGUGUGUGAAGGGGAGUGAUCUGAUGCGCAGUUGCUGGAAGCUUAUCAUAAUGUGGUCACAAUUUUCACUAUGAAGUAGUUCUCUAAAGGAAGGUCUUUGUGUAAAGACAGACUAUUAGAAAGUUUUUCAUGACUGGUGGUACUGAUUUGCAUACUUUUGUGUAUUCAUGAGUACAAUAAUAUUUAUUGACAGCCUACUGAGUUUCUGGCACUCUCCUGAGUACUGGGAAUACAUCUGUCAAUUGAACUUAAAACACAUUAGCUGUGAUAUAACAAAACAAAAUGAAUGAAUGUAUAUAAUCUCACUAUAGUCAACCGUAUUACUACCUUUCAUGUUGAGGACACACCAAAAUAUUGCAAAAUCCCUUUCUAUUAUUAAGAAUGCUUUAUUUUGAAUAGAAUAAACUUAAUAAAUUUAAAAAAUUAAAAGAGUAGAAAAUAAUCCAAAGGAAUCUAUAAACACAUAUAAGCUAGCAUGGUUAUACAAUGUAUCUAUAUGUACACAUGUCAGGAAUUCAGAGUAAAUGCAAGAAGAUGCCAAAUUGUGAGUCAUUCUUUAAACAAACAUACUGAGAGUUGGUUUUCUACACUACAUGCAUUUGGCAUGCCUACUUGUUGGACAUAGUCAUGACAAUUUCUUGUUUCUUUCACUCAACACAUGUAAUUGAGUGCCUAUGGCGGGCACUGGGCAAGGUGCUGGGAAGAAAAGUUGGGUUACACACAUUCUUGCCCUCCUGGACUUCAUGCAGGAGUUGUUUGAUUUCAUUAUAGAACCAUUUUCUGGGUCCUAAUGUCUACUUUUCAGAAGCAGACAUUUCCCAUUGCUUGUAGGAUGACCACCUCAUACACAUGGUCACCGUCAUCAUCCACCAAGCUCAGGACAACCAUCUCAUCAGGCUCCAUCUUAAAAGAAACUGUGAGAGCCCUUGUCUUGUGAAUUAGCUGCCUCUUCAGCAAUAUCUCUGGUCCUGAUCCUGAGCACUGGCCUCACUGCGAGGUGUUGUGGGUGUUCUGUUCCUCCUACUUCUGAGGCUCCCUUGCCUGGAUUCUCAGAAAACCAGGUCUUAGGCAAGAUGUGACCCUGAGCUGUGCAGCCUUAUAGUCGCAGCCCUUACCUUGCCAGGUUUUAAUGUCCUUCUGUGUACAACAAAGCAUUUAAGGAAUUUUAGGGAUCCCUAGGUUCCUUAAAAGGUACUUCCUGUCUUUCAAGCAAGUGAAAGGAAGAUGCAACCCUGUGAAGCCAAGACGGUUUCCAGAGCCUGGGAGCCAGGUGUGUGUUCCCACGGCUGCCUUGUGUCACAUGCCCAUGAUGAGGACAGUGUGAUAUUUUCACCAAAGCCUUUUCCCACCUCACUGCUAGGCAUUGAAAUGUUCUGAGUUCAUCACAGCAAGAGCAAGAAGGGGUCUUAGCAAUUAAUCAUUCAUUUGAUAGACGAGGAACUUGGAGUCUAAAGGGAUUCAGGCAGAAGAACUUAGCUUUUGACAACCAAUCAGCCUUACUAAAUUUAAACAAAUAGGAUUUUUAAAGUGUAAAAUAAUUUAUGGAAAUACCUUUAAGAGUAUUACUCUCUGCCUUGUUUCUUAGAUCAAAAAGUAACAAACUUACUUAUUUUUGAUAUCUCAGGGAUAUUCUGCUAUGAACGGAAUGUAGUUGUGAAUGGUACUGUCUCUGGAGAUAGAGCUGGGCUCACGUUGUGGCUGUAUCACUUAUUAGUUUCAUGAUGUAGGCCACAGUGUUUAGUCUUUCUGAGCCACAGCAUCCUUACCUGCAAAAUGGAGAGAAUAAUGAUUGGUAUCAAUCUCACUGGGAAGUUGUGAGAAUUAAGUGAUACAAUGUGCAUGUGAAAACAGUAGGAUGCCUGACAUGUAAGUGGGAUUGCUAUUGGAUGCUUUUAUUAUAAUUACUACUAUUAUAAUUUGGAUGUCACUUGGAACUUCUCUGCCUCUUGGGGAUUUAGUUUGAAUAUUUAAUUCCACAGCUGGGGGAAGCUGAAGUUUUUCUCUUAAUUCCUGUUUUAUCCCAACCCUACACUCCCUCCUUAAGGUGCCUCUGUUUCUACUCUUCUGUUGAUGGAUACCAUCUUGUUUGGCUUGCAUUUACCUUCUGCACAUUUGCAGUGAGCCAAGCCUUUUAUAAAAUUGUCCCUUUACUGAAGAUGUGGAAGUUCACAGAAGAGGGAUUGUGCCACACUGUGUGGGUCAUGACUUUCUUCCUUCCCACUCAUGUUCUGCUUCUCCCAGGGCCCACAUGCCAACAUGUGCCUUAGCUAAUCCAUGUAGUUCCUGAAUGGGUAAUUGAUUCCCUCUGUCUGAGAGUUUUCCUCUGGAAGAGUAGACCCAACCAGGAGGACUUUCUUUCUUGGUCCCCCUGGAAUGCUGGUGAGUAAAUAUUCUCUGUUGUUACCUUCAGUUCUGUCAUUAGACUACACUGCACUUCAGUAGACCACAUUAAACUACUCAGAUCAUAGUGGCUUCCAUAUUUGCCCCUACUCCGAAGGAACGCCCUGCUUCUAUUUCAGGAAUUUUCUUUGUCCUCUGUUACUAUCAGCCAGCUACUUGUUGAUGUGAGUGUGCCACCCCUUGGGGUGACCCCCGCUAUCUAACAUGAUGCUUUCAGCCUUUGGGGCAGCAAAGGCCGAGGGCAUUAGAAGUGUGCGUAAAGCUCUCUGAGUGGGAGCUUCUGCUCCCUCCUUCGGGGCAAAAUAAAUAAACCUUAGUACCUGGGCUUUAUGGCAAUUCUUUUGUUGGCUGAGCCACAGUUUUUCUUUAAUUCCUGUUUUUCUAUAUCACUCCAGCUAGCAGAGGUUGACAGAUCAAUGUAGUGUUAAAGAUAUGUAGCAACAUUUGUCUGGCACUAUUGGAAAAUGAGGUGUUUUCUAUAAAUAAAUUCCAGGUAAUGGGAGCUCAUCAUUUUAGAUACCGAAACCUUUAAACAUUUUAAUAAUGUUGGGUGGAGUGCUAAGACAUUAUGUGGCUUAAAAUCUAGAAAAUAAUUGAUGCAUACAAAUAGGAAGGCAGAAUAACAGUGGAUAAGUAUACAGACUGGAGUCAAGCUUGAUUCACAGGGUUCUGCCAUUUUUCCAUCCCAAAUGCAGUGCACAGCAUUGAGCCCAGUAAUACAUCUUGUUUCAUAUGCUUGAUUUGAAGAUGUCAUGCCCCUCCAUGCAAAGUCUUAGCAUAGUGCCAGGCACUUUUUACAUGCUUACUAUCCAGCUCUUCCUGGCCUUAUUGUUACUGUUAACUUUUUUUGUUGUUGUUUUUUUCUUUUUGAGAUGAAGUCUCGCUCUCUCACCCAGGCUGGAAUGCAGUGGCAUGAUCUCGGCUCACUGGAACCUCCGCCUCCCAGGUUCAAGCGAUUCUCCUGCCUCAGCCUCCUGAGUAGCUGAGAUUACAACUGAUGCUUUUCCAAGCCUUCUACAUCCCACAGCUGGUUAUUAGAAUGUGAUAAUCUUGGAGUCAAUAUAUGGAGGGGAUGCUGAAAAAAAUUCACAGGAGACCAACUCAGUCUACCAGCUAAAUCGGUUUGGAGGCACUGAAAUCUAAUAAAAAACACAUCUGAGUAUCCAAUCCUGGACCCACUGCCAGGAAGAGAAGAGACCUUGAACAGUGAUGGAGGCAGUGAAGGAACUUCGGUAUAAGAGAUUGCAUCCCAUUUCUUCACUGGUCCCACCAAGGUGACCAGCUGUGUGACAAAUCCUCUAGAAUCUGGAGCUGACCCCUGAGGGUAAAGACAGAAGUGGACAUCUUUUGAGUCUUGCCAAUAACCAACAUGAACGGAGAGGUGAGAAGACUCCACCCCACUGCUAACUGAGGUGCUAAAUGAGAAGAUAAUGCUACCUCACCUGACUGUACGUCACUGCCCUCUAAAUUCUGUUGAUUCACGGAUUACAGAGAAAGGAGAUGAACACACUCCUCCCCACUUUCUGGGAGCCCAGUCUGGCCACAUUUCCAGCUGUGAGCAAGUGGUAGAUGUCCUCAGCCUGUGCGUGUUGAUGUUUCACACAUGCUGAGAUUCAGAGACAGGAGGGCGCCCCUCCUACAGCCAAUUUCCAGAGAAGGGCAGGAUUCAGAUUUCCUUUUCAGCCAAUGAUGAGACUAAGGUUAACUUGAAAAAUGAUCCAGGACGCAAAAAGAAUUGAAAACACUUUGGCAGGACGAAGUGGCUAACGCCUGUAAUCCCAGCACUUUAGGAGGUCGAGGCAGGCAGAUCACCUGAGGUCAGGAGUUCGAGACCAGCCUGAAUAACAUGGUGAAACCUUGUUUCUACUAAGAAUACAAAAAUUAGCCCAGCGUAGUGGCGGGUGCCUGUAAUCCCAGCUACUCAGGAGGCUGAGGCAGGAAAAUCGCUUGAACCCAGGAAGCGGAGAUUGCAGUGAGCCGAGAUAGCACCAUUGCACUCCAGCCUGGGCGACAGAGCAAGGCUCCAUCUUAAAAAAAAAAAAAAAAAAGAAAAGAAAAUACACCAAAAAAAUAUGGCAAGCAAUGUUUUCAUGUAAACCCUGAUUUACUUCAGGCACUCAUCUGAAGUGUUGGGUGUACACGAUUUGUGGAACUUUUUAAUGGCAAGAUGAUCAUUGGCCAAAACACCAAUGUACCAAAUUUCUUUGGGCCCGUGAAAUAUGAAUGGGCCUUGUCUACACGUCCUCUUGUGACUCUUUUUGUCCAUGCUCUCCUUGAGGUCAAAGGUGAACAGGUUUCAAGCCUCCACUCAAAGGAAGGCUCCUUCAGGGUUCCCCACAGGCUCCCUCAUAAUUGGAUACAAUAACUCUGACUUGGCACAGUCUGGUUCCUUGUCCAUGUUGGCAUCCCAGCUCAAUGUCUGUUAGAACCACACAUAAAAUCCACACAACAUCUCUAGUGUGCUCUGUCCACUGCCUCUGCGAGUCUUCCUGAAUGAGAUUGCCCACAUCAUGUGUUCUGAUGCUUGGAAAGCCUGACAACUGCUUUACAAAGAGGCAAAAGCAAACAUCAACACCCAAUACCAUGCGUAUUAGUCCAUCCUCACACUGCUGUAAAGAAAUACCUAAGACUGGGUAAUUUAUUUAAAAAACAGAAUGAAUUGGCUCACAGUUCUGCAGGCUGUACAGGAAGCAUAGCAGCGUCUGCUUCUGGGGAGGCCUCAGGAAGCAUCUAGUCAUGGCAGAAGUCAAAGGGGGAGUGAGCCCUUUCCAUGGCCAGGGCCGGAGGAAGAAGAGAUCUCAUGAGAACUCGCUCACCAUAAACAACCAGAUCUCACGGGCAUUCACUCACUACACAGCAGCUAGGGGGAUGAUGAUGAACCAUCCGUGAGGAAUGCACCUCCAUGAUCCAAUCACCUCCCACCAGGUCCCACCUUCAACACUGGGAAUUACAUUUCAACAUGAGAUUUGGGUGGCAACACAGAUCCAAACCAUAUCACCAUGGGCCCAGAAUGUUCAUUUGUGGCUUUGGGAAAGAAAGAACCAUAGAUAGGUCAUUUGUAACUUUCCUGCAUGGAGUUACAAAUACUUGGGUUGCUUGUAUUCCAAAGCUUCUCGAUCACUUCUCAUAUGGUUUGGCUGUGUCCCCAUCCAAAUGUCAUCUUGAAUUGUAAUUCCUACGUGUUGUGGGAGGGACCUGGUGGGAGAUAAUUGAAUCAUGGGGUGCUGACUCCCCUGUAUUGUUCUCAUGGUAGUGAAUAAGUCUCAAAAGAUCUGAUGGUUUAAUAAGUGGUUUCCCCUUUCACUUGACUCUCAUUCUUUCUUGCCUUGUAAGAUGUGCUUUUAUCCUUUUGCCAUGAUUGUGAGGCCUCCUCAGCCACGUGUAACUGUGAGUCGAUUAAACGACCUUUUCUUUAUAAAUUACCAAGUUUCAGGUAUGGGGUCGAAGCCCCCACACAGAGCCCGCAUUGGGGCACUGCCUACUGGAGCUGUCAGAAGAGGGCCACUGUCCUCCAGACCCCAGAAUUGUAGAUCCACCAACAGUUUGCACCGUGCACCUGGAAAAGCUGCAAGUACUCAGUGCUAUCCUGUGAAAGCAGCCAGGAGAGGGGCUAUACCCUGCAAAGCCACAGUGGCAGAGCUGCCCAAGACCAUGGGAACCUAGCUCUUGCAUCAGUGUGACCUGGAUGUGAGACAUGGAGUCAAAGGAGACCAUUUUGGAACUUUAAGGCUUAAUGACUGCCCUAUUGGAUUUUGGACUUGCAUGGGGCCUGCAGCCCUUUUGUUUUGGACAAUUUCUUCUAUUUGGAAUGGGCGUAUUUACCCAAUGCCUCUACCCCCGUUGUAUCUAGGAAGAAACUAACUUGCUUUUGAUUUUAUAGGCUCAUAGGUGGAAGGGACUUGCCUUGUCUCAGAUGAGACUUUGGACUGUGGAAUUUUGAGUUAAUGUUGAAAUGAAUAAAG
rnacentral:lncRNA from 10 species